rnacentral:rRNA from 1 species
CGAAAGCCUGACGGAGCAACGCCGCGUGUGGGAAGAAGGCUCUUGGGCUGUCAACCACUUUUCUCAGGGAAGAAGUCCUGACGGUACCUGAGGAAUCAGCCUCGGCUAACUCCGUGCCAGCAGCCGCGGUAAUACGGAGGAGGCAAGCGUUAUCCGGAAUUAUUGGGCGUAAAGCGUCCGCAGGGGGCGCAUCAAGUCUGCUGUUAAAGGUCGGAGCUAAACUCCGGUAGAGCAGUGGAAACUGGUGCGCUAGAGGGCGACAGGGGUAGAGGGAAUUCCCAGUGUAGCGGUGAAAUGCGUAGAGAUUGGGAAGAACACCGGUGGCGAAAGCGCUCUACUGGGUCGCGACUGACGCUGAGGGACGAAAGCUAGGGGAGCG